UCGAGUGUCGCCCCCCUCGUAAAAAAAGGGGGGUACCUCCCGUCCUUUGCUGGGGGCCCCCUCUUAUUUUUUAGGAGGGGGCUUUUUCAGACCCUUCUGCUUCGGCGGGGUUAACCCCCUGCCGGAACAACCUCAAAAACUCUUUUAAACUUGUUCUGUCCGAGAAAUUUUUAAAAUGAUAACA
rnacentral:misc_RNA from 1 species